rnacentral:rRNA from 1 species
GAUGAACGCUGGCGGCGUGCCUAAUACAUGCAAGUCGAGCGAACAGACGAGGAGCUUGCUCCUCUGACGUUAGCGGCGGACGGGUGAGUAACACGUGGAUAACCUACCUAUAAGACUGGGAUAACUUCGGGAAACCGGAGCUAAUACCGGAUAACAUGUUGAACCGCAUGGUUCAACAGUGGAAGACGGUCUUGCUGUCACUUAUAGAUGGAUCCGCGCCGCAUUAGCUAGUUGGUAAGGUAACGGCUUACCAAGGCAACGAUGCGUAGCCGACCUGAGAGGGUGAUCGGCCACACUGUAACUGAGACACGGUCCAGACUCCUACGGGAGGCAGCAGUAGGGAAUCUUCCGCAAUGGGCGAAAGCCUGACGGAGCAACGCCGCGUGAGUGAAGAAGGUCUUCGGAUCGUAAAACUCUGUUAUUAGGGAAGAACAAAUGUGUAAGUAACUAUGCACGUCUUGACGGUACCUAAUCAGAAAGCCACGGCUAACUACGUG